ACUUUAUCAAGUUAGAUGGUCGAUAUAGUAAAACUUUUUAAAAAGUUUGUUCAUGUUGAAAAUUAUGUAAGAAAUUUUUAAAUGAAAUCAGGUUUAAAGAAACACCUUUUUAAAGACUACUUAGUAUACAGCAUCGCCGAGUACUGAGCUCCUAUGUGGGGAAGAAGCACGCACUGUAAAUCUGUAGACUCGCAGAUCAAUCACACAAAUAAUGAGGAUCAUAACAGAAACCAUUAAAUCCAUCAACAUACAAUGGCUGCCGGUCCUCACCUACAUAGUGUUACGAAUCAAAAACUCCCCCAUCUGCCUGUCCACAAGGAUGUGUUCCAGACACGCAACGAAAGACUUAAAUCCAGACACCCUAUUUGAACAAACUUGGACUUUUCGGAGUCAGUGGAGGAUAAAUGGAAGAAGAAAUAGGCAGACAAUAGAGAACGCAACCAACAUCUAAUAGCAGAUCCUACCUACAGAGUCCCUGGCUUUGAUCUCUCAAGGACAGAAUGGACUAUACUAAAUUAGAGUGAGGUUAGAGCAGGGUAAAUGCAAUUACCUUAUGCAGAAAUUGGGUAUGGUGAACUCUCCAGACUGCGCUUGUGGUCAGGCGCAGACAGUGAGACACGUCACACAAGAAUACCUACUGUCACGAUUUGAAAGAGGCAUUGACGGACUUCAUGAAGCCGGGGGAAAAAGCUAUAGAAUGGCUAAAAUAUCUAGAUCCACGCUUAUGAACCAACAUUUAGACCCUCACUUAAUUAAUCGUUAAACAAAAUGACUUUGUUUUUAACCCCAAUUAUUGACUAUCUAUGUUACCACUAUACUAUUUCUGUUAUUAUUUAAUGUUUUUAUUGAUAUUGUUACUAACCAAUUUUUACUAUUUUAUAAUAUUUCUAUAGAUUUUGUAUCCGAUUGCCAUAUGAAAUAAAUUUAAAAAAAAG